GCAAGACCGCGUGCGGGAGGACGGCCUAUUGGUUGUAAACCGCUUUUGAUAGGGAAGAAGUUCUGACGGUACCUAUCGAAUCAGCAUCGGCUAACUCCGUGCCAGCAGCCGCGGUAAUACGGAGGAUGCAAGCGUUAUCCGGAAUUAUUGGGCGUAAAGCGUCCGUAGGUGGUUGUUCAAGUCUGCUGUUAAAGCGUGCGGCUUAACCGCAUACCAGCAGUGGAAACUGGGCGACUAGAGUGCGGUAGGGGUCAGGGGAAUUCCCAGUGUAGCGGUGAAAUGCGUAGAUAUUGGGAAGAACACCGGUGGCGAAAGCGCCUGACUGGACCUGCAC
rnacentral:rRNA from 1 species